UUAAUAAUCCCAUCAUUCAGGGCUUUGAUGCCUUGUGCUCACUAAUGGUUGAAUGGAGAAGCUUGCUCAAAGUCCUGAAUGGUGGGAUUAUUAU